UAGAAUAAACUGAAAUUUAUUAUCUUCUUUAGAAUUGUUUAUUUUAGAAAUAUAGUUGGAAAAUGACAGCUUCCACUUUUGAUAAUUACUUUUGUAUCCAG